AAACCUCACCACAUUUCCUCCUUUCUCACGCCAAACCAAGGGGGCGACCGAUGCAAUCCAUCUUUCGUUCACCCUCGAAACGCCGUCCUCUCCUCCAUCACCGUGGCUUCGUCGACGGCGCCGGCUUCAAAUACGUCCGCGAUCGAGGCCUCGACCACGUUGUCGAGCGAGAGAAGCACCUUAGACCCGUUAUCAACGUCAAGAACCUAAUAAAGUCUGAGCCCUCCAAGUCCAUUCCCAUUUCAGUCAUAUCCCAGCAGAGAGACUCCCUCAGGUUCCCCUUUCGACCCAUCGAUUUCAUCCGCAAAUACCCGGCAAUUUUCGAAGAAUUCCUUCCUGGCGGUAUUCACCCCCACAUCAAGCUUAAGACAGAGGUUCUGGAUCUUGACGCCGAAGAGAAUUUGGUCUAUCAGAGCGACAACUACAGGCAGAAUGUCGCGGAUAGGCUUUUGAAGCUGUUAAUGAUUUCAAGAAUCAAUAAAAUUCCUUUGAGAAUUCUUGAUACUCUGAAAUGGCAUCUAGGUCUCCCUCAAGAUUAUGUUCAGAGCCUUGUACCCGAAUUCCCUGAUUACUUUCGAGUUAUUGAUGGAAGUCAUUCAACCACGUGUGGGUUGAAAUCAGAUUUGAAUUUGGAGUUGGUUUGCUGGAAUAGUGAAUUGGCUGUUUCGGCGAUAGAGAAGAAGGUGAAAGGUUAUGAGAAGGGGAUGCCUAUUGUGUUCCCUAUGCAUUUUUCCAGGGGUUCUGAGAUGGAUAAGAAGGUGAAGAAGUGGGUGGAUGAUUGGCAGAGGUUGCCAUACAUAUCUCCUUACGAGAAUGCUUGCCAUCUUGGGCCUAACACAGAUGAAUCUGAUAGGUGGGCAGUUGCGGUUAUGCACGAGGUUCUUAAUCUUUUUGUUGCAAAAUUUGGUGAGUGGGAUAAUGUCUUGCAGCUUGGAGAGUGGUUGGGGAUUCGGUCAAGGUUAAAGAGAGCAUUGCUUCACCAUCCCGGAGUAUUUUACUUGUCCAGUAAGGUUGGAACCUAUACGGUGGUUUUGAGGGAGGGCUUUAAGAGGGGGUUGUUGAUUGAGAAGAAUCCCUUGGUGGAUAUUAGGAAUCAGUAUCUGCACCUUAUGCAUUCAGUAAAGGAAGAUAGUAAACUGGUUAGUAUGCCUGGCGGAAGCAAGCAAGAGAAGAAGACAACUACUCAUGAAGAGUCCAAAGCAGAAGAGAAAAUGGACGAUAAUGAUCUUGAUGAUAGCUUGGAAGAGAGUGAUGAUGAAAGCUUGGAAGAGAGUGAUGAUGAUAGGGACCAUGAAUUCCAAGCUGAUGGUAAUGAAGACAGUGAAGAGGACGAGAAUGGGGAGCAAUAUUUGAAGAAAAGAGGUGCUUUCAGAAAUGAUUCAUCUAGUAGAGGAAGAACAAAUAGGAAGAUUAUGGGUGUUCAAGGGUCUUCAAGGGGUUUUGAAAUAAGUUCAGAUAGUAAAGGCGAUGGCAAACCUAAAGAAAAGAAUUCUAGAAGAAGAGAGAUGAGUAGAGAGCUGAUUAUUCAUGGGAUCUCAAAGGAUGGAAGAAAAUUCAACGACGAUGAAUUUGAAGAUAAUGAUAGUGACAAUGGUGAAGAGGGGAAGAAUGGAGAGCAAUAUUUGAAGCAAAGAGGCGCUUUCAGAAAUGCCUCAUCUAGUAGAGGAAGAACAAAUAGGAAUGACUCUGGUGUUCUGGGGUCUUCAAGAGGUUUUGAAAUACAAAGGUCAGAUAGUAAAGGCUAUAGCAAACCUAAAGAUAAAAUCUCCAGAAGAAGAGAUACACAUAGGGAUCACAACAUUCGUGGGAGCUCAAAGGAGAGAUGCAAAUUCAGCGGUGAUAAAUUUGGAGAUGAUGCUAAUGACUACCAGGAGAAGGAGAAUGGAGAGCAAUAUUUGAGGCAAGGAGGUGCUUUCAGAAAUGCCUCAUCAAGUCGAGGAAGAACAAAUAGGAAGGGUAACAUGGGUUUUCAGGGGGCUUCAAGAGGUUUUGAAAGACAAAGGUCAGAUAGUAAAGGCCAUGGCAAACCUAAAGAAAAUUUUUCUAAAAGAAGAGAGACGAGUAGGGAGCACAACAUUCGUGGGAGCUCAGGGGAGAGAUCAAGUUCAACUGAUAGCAGAGGGAGGUCAUUGCCAAUCAAGAAUAUUUCUACAUGAUAUAGGUUUAAUAGAGCACCUGAACGACAGCCAACAGGCAGGCAGAUACAUCCCUUGAUGAUCAUCAUCAUAUGUGACAUGGUAGAGAGAGGAUCAGCAUCAAUACUUGACCUUUCCAAGGUACUAAUGGAAGUGGAGGUUGAUGAUCAAUAAUCGUAUAGCUGGAAAAAGGAAUACCGACAUAUGAAUACUUAUGAGAAAUAUGUUCUCUCCCUUGGCAAGGUAUUCAACUGCAUCGGCUGGUAUGAUUCAGGACUUCAUCAAUUCUAGGUCUUAUUCAAGAUGGUGUGAUUUCCCGUCUUAGCAGUGGGAGUGUAUGUCUCGCUGCUGCUCAAUCAAUUUCUUGUAUUUUAGAAAUAAAGGAAUGCUGAAUUCAAUGCUUAGUUUAUCCCAAAUGUGAAAUUUCAAUUGACAUGUUCUUUCGAUCAAGAAAAUUAUGAAUGAUACUCAUUUCAUGUUUAUGAACAAUCUAAGUUACAUGUUCUCCCAUUA